UGAAGAUUAAAGCACCUUGCUCCAACCAGAGAGCAGAUGGGAGAGGCACAGAGGCAAGAAAAUUGCUUAAAUAUCAAUUCAUUAUCCUAUUCUUGAGCUGAGUGUUUGCAACAUAAUGCAAGUGCUCCAGCUGAGGUGAACAGAGAAGACCGAGAAGCAGAGACAACCUAGGGAAGCCGUACAUGCCUAAAGAGAGAUGGGUUCAGAAAUAACACUGCAGAAAGAAAUGGCGCUGGCUGCAGAGGGGUUCCGAGAAUGCCCCAUGUGGUGUGGCACCUUCUUCACGUUCUUUAAGGCCUCUUCGGCCUGCUCUUGUUCCAUUGCGGCAACCAUGUCUUUGUAUGCUUUCCUGGCUUCCUCGGAUCUUUUUGGUAGAUGCGUUCCUGAAAACUGACAAGCUCUUGAAGAAGCAGAGUCACACAUUCAUCAAUCUCUUUACAAAGAACCUGAUUGCAGUACCUGUAAAGGAAAACAAAACCAGGCAAAAAGUGUUAACUCAAAAACAAUAGUAUAAAGAAAGGGAACAGGAGGAUCAAGAUGGCAAAAGAGGAAGAUCCCAACCCAUCUCCUCCCACAGACACACUCAAAUUACAUCACACGGAACUGUCUCUGAGAAUGACCUGAAGAACAGCAGAAGAGCUCUUCUACAACUAAAGAGAAAAAGCCACACCAGAAAGAAAGAAUUCAUCUGCCAGGGCUUUAAUCAAUAAAAAAAGAUAAUCAUGAUGCUGAUGAUAUACCCAACUACCAAUUAACUAGUCAUCAUAAAGAUGUAUACCUAUGAACAUCUCAUAAUAAUCUGUUGGCUAAAAUGCCACAACUACUUUUGCAAAACAGAUUUAAAUCCUUAUUUAUCUUGAAAAAUAAACAUCCCCAGACUGUGGUUUACCUUUUUAA